AAGUUUGAUCCUGGCUCAGGAUGAACGCUAGCGGCAGGCUUAACACAUGCAAGUCGAGGGGUAUAGUUCUUCGGAGCUAGAGACCGGCGCACGGGUGCGUAACGCGUAUGCAAUCUACCUUUUACAGGGGGAUAGCCCAGAGAAAUUUGGAUUAAUACCCCAUAGUAUAAUUGAAUGGCAUCAUUUAAUUAUUAAAGUCACAACGGUAAAAGAUGAGCAUGCGUCCCAUUAGCUAGUUGGUAAGGUAACGGCUUACCAAGGCAACGAUGGGGUAGGGGUCCUGAGAGGGAGACCCCCCACACUGGUACUGAGACACGGACCAGACUCCUACGGGAGGCAGCAGUGAGGAAUAUUGGUCAAUGGGCGCAAGCCUGAACCAGCCAUGCCGCGUGCAGGAUGACGGUCCUAUGGAUUGUAAACUGCUUUUGCACAGGAAGAAACACUGAUUCGUGAAUCAGCUUGACGGUACUGUGAGAAUAAGGAUCGGCUAACUCCGUG
rnacentral:rRNA from 1 species